UGGUUUGAACCACAGGACUAGGAAUGGGAACACCUGAAUUUCCUACCUGACUCUGUAUUGGACUUAUUUUAAGACUUUGGGUUUUGUCCGGGAGUUUUCCACUGGCAUACAUAAAAACACUGCAGAAUUUAAGAAGUGCAACAUGGCAAGAGGCUGCCUGUGUUGUUUGAAAUACAUGAUGUUCCUUUUCAAUUUAAUAUUUUGG